rnacentral:rRNA from 1 species
GUUGAACGCUGGCGGCAGGCAUAACACAUGCAAGUCGAACGAGCGGCGGACGGGUGAGUAAUGUAUGGGGAACUGCCCCAUAGAGGGGGGUAAAUACUGGAAAAGGUGGGUAAUAACGCAAUCUAUAGGAUGAACCCAUAAGGGAUUAGCUAGUAGGUGGGGUAAAGGCUCACCUGGGCGACGAUCCCUAGCUGGUCUGAGAGGAUGAUCAGCCACACUGGGACUGAGACACGGCCCAGACUCCUACGGGAGGCAUCAGUGGGGAAUAUUGCACAAUGGGCGAAAGCCUGAUGCAGCAAUGCCGCGUGAAUGAAGAAGGCCUUCGGGUUGUAAAGUACUGUCAGCGGGGAGGCGUUACCCGAAGAAGAAGCAACGGCUAACUCCGUGCCAGCAGCCGCGGUAAUUC